AAGAGGGUACAAAUGAAGUGAAAUGAUUGGCUCACUUGUAACAGAAUCGAUCUUGUGGAUUGUAAUGUUAUUAUUAUCUAUCUUGUUUCAGAUUUUGUUGAUUGGACUUGGAAGGAGUUCAAUUUGAUUUCUUUUAAAUUAAGAGGAUACAAAACUCUUACCACUAAUGCUUUCUUUUAUUGUCACGAUUUGAUUGGAAGAUAGCAACAAUGAUAGCAAAGGGUUGCAGUGAAGGCAAAGCGUCUCGAAUUUUAUAUGUGUCUGGUAAAGAGAGCCUUGAGAAAAUUGGUAACAGAGCAUAACGCCUUAGGAUUAAAUCAGAUAUAUAUUUAUAUUUAAGUGUUGAUAUUAAGGUGGAAAUCUAGAUUUUUUCUGAUUAGUUUUGCUGCUAGCAUUCUUCUUGCUAUAUUAUUUUCUGUUUUAUAUAUGGAUUUUUUUUUUAAGUUAUUGUUUGGGUCCUAUUAAGCGAUUAUUUUAUGUAAUAGCCUUAACUUGCGAGAACUGUAUGGUGAAGUCUAAAUACUUGUCUGCUUUUUUAUCUUAAUUUAGUU